ensembl:rRNA 5S_rRNA 5S ribosomal RNA
UCCUACAGCCAUAUCAACCUUCAGCCCAAGACCAAAGUUGCGUACUGAAGCUAAGCAUGCAGGUCUGAGCCUGGUUAGUACCUGGAUGGGAGGCCACAUAGGGAAACUAGAUUGUUGUUAGGU